AAAUUGACAAAUUAAUCAAUGGAUCAUAACCAAGAUAUGCAAUGACACACAUAAAUGAACACUUUAUAUAUGGCAGUAACAGCAGUGCGUGGUCCUAAAAACCAAAAAGAUAAUCUUUUCAGCAAAUGGUGCUGGGAAGACAGAAUAUCCCUAUGGAAAAAAUGAAACUGUACCCUUUCUCUCACCAUACACAGAAACCAGUUCCAGGCUAAUUAAAACCUAGAAGUGGCCCCUGCCCUCCUUCCCUUCCUUUUCUGAACAAUUCAGCCCUGAAACCUUGAGCUGUAAUCCCAAUGUCCAGAAAAGCAAAUGGCAUAUAGAAGGUAUUCAAUCAGUAUUUGUCGAAUGGACAAACAAAUAACUGAUGACUUUGGAAACUCCUCAGAGUCUUAAUUCAUCUGCCUUCGUUUAAUCAACUAGGACAAAAGAAGUACAUGAGAAUUAACACUAGAUGGCGCAAGAUUACAACGAAAGUAAGCCUAAUCAACCCAUCAUUUCCUCCUGACUGGAACUGCCUCAAGAAAAGCCUGUGUCGCCAAGUUUCCUCUGGCCUCCCCGCUCCCAGCCCGUUGAUGUUAACUUUGCUGUAAUAACUCGAAUUUCAAUCACUCAUGCCCCACCUGCAUAAACGUUCUUCUACCCUGCCAAGUAUUGCAGUUCUUCCAUGCGCCAGUGCAUGUUAUCAAGCUCCUCCUCCCCACUCCUGGCAACCCCCCAAC
rnacentral:lncRNA from 1 species